rnacentral:rRNA from 1 species
UACGAAGGUGGCAAGCGGUGUUAGGAUUCACUGGGCGUACAGGGAGCGUAGGCGGUUAGGUAAGACCUUCGUGAAAUCUCCGGGCUUAAACCGGAAAGUGCGGGGUGAACUGCUUGGCUAGAGGAUGGGAGAGGAUCGCGGAAUUCCCGGUGUAGCGGUGAAAUGCGUAGAGAUCGGGAGGAAGGCCGGUGGCGAAGGCGGCGCUCUGGAUCAUUUCUGACGCUGAGGCUCUAAAGCGUGGGGAGCAAAUAGG